GACGUAGGGUGCGAGCGUUGUCCGGAUUUAUUGGGCGUAAAGAGCUCGUAGGCGGCUCGUCGCGUCGACCGUGAAAACCCGCGGCUUAACUGCGGGCUUGCGGUUGAUACGGGCGGGCUAGAGUUCGGUAGGGGAGACGUGGAAGUUCCUGGUGUAGCGGUGAAAUGACGCAGAUAUCAGGAGGAACACCGGUGGCGAAGGCGGGUCUCUGGGCCGAUACUGACGCUGAGGAGCGAAAGCGUGGGGAGCGAACAGG
rnacentral:rRNA from 1 species